rnacentral:lncRNA from 1 species
AAACAUAUGCAUGUCUGCUACCUGGAACCCAUAGGAAGUGCAAGCUUCUUACUGCUCUCCUGUUUUCUUUGCAGCAAGAGGUUUCUGAGAGAGUUGACCCCAUUUUGUCUCUUGGGUGCAACCGUAAGCAUUCCUGCAUCAGCUCCUCCUUUCUGCUUGUAAGAAUCAUCCAAUUUCUUUGGUGAUAGCUGAGUGAUAGAGUUUGCCAAGUUUCCGUAACCAUGGUUCAUGUGGAUGUUCCGUCCAUAUAGCAGACCUGACCUGGGACUCUCAGAAGCUGCAGCUGUCAGAUUCCGCACUUCGGUGCAUAUGAUUUCCUUUGUGUUAGGAGGUUUGAAUUCUCCAGUUGUUGCAUGAUCGUCUGUUCUCAUAUGAUCAAAUAAUCUGGGCUGACAUUUAGAUUUUGUAGUAGCAGGACUAGAUAUCAACUUCUCUGAUAGAGAUGCAUCACUUGGUUUCUCUGAAGCAGCAACUAUGUCACAAUCCUGCAAGAUCAUACAAUUAAUUUUGUUUAAGGUCUCAAUACUAAGGUAAUUUCAUAGUCAUUAUAUCGUAUUCGUCCAUCUGAAACAAGAAAUUUGAAUUAAAGACACAACUGCUUGAGAAUCAGAAGUACACAACUAAAGUUGCAACUUCAAUUAAAGGAUACCGAAAUCAGUGGAUGUCUUGAACAAGCAUUUGGUCAGACCUGCUCACAAUUCCUCCUGAUACUUGUGGUGUGUUUAGCAUUCAUAAACCCAUAUUUACUGAAAUAAUAGUAGAACCAACAAGAUCUACCAGGCAUGUAUCAUCAAUUAGCCUAUAACCUCAGAACAAUAGUUAGCUUCAUAUUUCUCAUAUAUAGUGUGCCAAUAGGUCCAGAGAAAAUUUAAUUUACAUUUAACAAUUAUAUCACUGAAGAUAAUAGGACUUACUGCCUGGAUUUGCUUUUCGUCUUGGGUCAUGAUAUACUUUGGAGUUUCCUUAGAUGAAGCACUGUGCCAGAGAGAGUUAAAGAUUUCAGAUGAUAUUUAUAAGAUUUUCGGUAAAAGAAAAGCACACAAAAGAAAUAAUUCAUACAUUUCUAACUGAAGCUGUAGUUCUAGACAUGCUUCCUCUAGUUCUUCACAGCAAUUGCUUUUGUGCCCCAGUUCAACCUCAAGGGAUGAGAGUUUUUGAUAAGCCUCAUUCAGUUCAGCCUUUGCAACUGUUAGCUGCACUCCAAGAUCUUCACUAAUUAACUUUUGGCUUAGAACCUGGUUUUCAAUCUGCCCGUUGGACUCCUUAAGUGUUGCUAGCUCUAUUUGUAAAUUGGAAAUGUCUUCUUCUGAUUCAUGGAUUUGAGCUAUCAAUGUCUUAUUCUUAGUACUAGAUGCUUGUAGCAUUUCCUCCAAAUCUUUCUUUCUGGACUCCAUACACAUGAUCUCCGAUUUUAGAUGCUCAUUUUCACAUUUCAGAUUGGAUUCAAUAUCCUCCAUGGUAAACAAGAUACACAAACCAUUUGAUGCAGAGACUAAAGGUAUUUUUCUUUCUUUAUCAAAACUGGGUUCUUCAUGUCCAUCUAACUUAUCGUUAUCUUUAGUUGUGUAUAUUACAGCCUUAAGUUCAUUAUCACUGCAUGAUUUAUCUGCAUCCAAGUAUUUCCUAAACAUCUCCUUCAUGUCUGAAACUUCUUGAAGGGCGAAAGAGUGGUUUGCAAUCCAGUCC